rnacentral:lncRNA from 1 species
ACAUUUUCCGGAGCACCAGUGCUGGAAGAAAAGCCCCUAGGGCAGGGCGUUUGUGCAGCCAUCCCUCCAGAGGGAGUGUGCAUACCCUCCUGGGAAGAGACUGGGGGCUGAAAGUAGAGAAGGGACAAGGGGAAACUCAAAGGGCAUUCCCUGGGGGUUCCCUUCCAGGUUUUCUCCUGUGUUGCCCCGAAGGGGUCUAUGGGCACUGCUCCUGCAGUCUGCGGUUAAAAAUUAGACGCCUUCAUUUCCGGAUCAACAAGGGGGUGCAGAGGGAGUUGGGGGGGGUCACGCCUCCCCGCACCCGGAAAGACGUUGAGGUGUGUGGCCGAGUUGGAUUUGGUCCAGGCCCGCCAAGGAAGGCUGGGAGAAGCGUGCUAUAAAGGCUGGAAGGUCUCCGUAUUUACUCCUUUAGUAAAUACGGAGAAUCACGUCGAACACUAGUGGCCCAGAUACUGUCGUGGCCGCGCACCUUUGGAGUUUUGGGGCAAAGAGAGUUGGAUGGAAGGCCGAACUGGGUAUCUGUCUCCUUUCAACUCUGCCAGCCCCAGGGUGCAGAGGAACAAACAGGCAGGAGAAGUUGGGUGUCCCCUACUUUUUCCUUCCUUCCGCACAGAUAAGUCUGUAGAUUAGUGGGGCCCCGGCGCCUCAGUGACGUUGUCGCCUCUUACUGCGCUGGGGCCUGGGCUUCUCGGCUGAGACCCUGAAACUCCUUUCCUUUUAUCCUCUCAGCUUUCUCCAUUCCUUCCUUUACUCUACGUCUCUGUACACAGAGUGUGAUGUGAGGGUUCACCCCGGGCGCCCGCAGAUCCCCCACGUUCCCCAGCACGCUUGGGAUGCAUCUCCCGAGUGCGCUAGGAAUGGGCAGCCCGGUGUCCCCCGCGCGGGUGCCGAGCGGACCGGCGGGGGCAGAGGUGAAUUGCACGCCUGGGGGGCGGGCCGGGGCGGGGAGCCGAGGUUGCUGGGAGCUGGGUCUGGAGUCCGAGGACGGGGAGGGGGCAUGGUCGCCCCCCGCCCUGUGAACUGUGAAGUGCGCGGCUCCGGCCGAGCCGGUGGUUUCCAGCCGGGCCAGCCGAGCGCGGCGGCUGCGGCCGCAGACGUGGAGGAGCGGAGCGCCGAGGCUGGCGCCAGGCGGCCUCUUUUGUUUAUCUGACAGCUAAAUAUCAAGGCAAUCACCGCCUCGCGGCCCUGCCUCCAACCCCCACAGCUAAGACAAACAGUUGGGCUAAAAGAAUGCCUCUGUUAUCGUAAGUUUCUAUCUCUCUUCUCAUGGCUGGGCCUUUAUUUUCUCUUGCUUUUUUAAUUUCAGAGUCUGCUUUUUGUGUGUAGGCAAAGGCUUGGGGAGGUGCUGGGCUUGCUUCACGUUGGUUCUAGGUUUCCUCUGUUGGAAGUUUGGUGAAUUUUUCUGUUGUGGCUGGGUUUUUGUUUGCUGUUUUUGCAAAGACGUUCCCUUGAUAUGCUUUACAUUUUGUUCCGUUUUCAUGUAUUUGUGCUGUG